UUAUUAUCCAGCCUGCAUGGCUUAGUGGUUGAUCAUCUACCUAUGAAUUAAGAAGUCAAAGUUUGAUUCCUGGUCAGGGUACAUGCCCAGGAUGUGGGCUUGAUCCCUAGUGUGGGGCCAUGCA